rnacentral:rRNA from 1 species
GACGAACGCUGGCGGCGUGCUUAACACAUGCAAGUCGAACGGUAAGGCCCUUCGGGGUACACGAGUGGCGAACGGGUGAGUAACACGUGGGUGAUCUGCCCUGCACUUCGGGAUAAGCCUGGGAAACUGGGUCUAAUACCGGAUAGGACCACUGCCUGCAUGGGUGGUGGUGGAAAGCUUUUGCGGUGUGGGAUGGGCCCGCGGCCUAUCAGCUUGUUGGUGGGGUGAUGGCCUACCAAGGCGACGACGGGUAGCCGGCCUGAGAGGGUGACCGGCCACACGGGGACUGGGAUACGGCCCAGACUCCUACGGGAGGCAGCAGUAGGGAAUAUUGCACAAUGGGCGCAAGCCUGAUGCAGCGACGCCGCGUGAGGGAUGACGGCCUUCGGGUUGUAAACCUCUUUCAGCACCGACGAAGCGCAAGUGACGGUAGGUGCAGAAGAAGGACCGGCCAACUACGUGCCAGCCGCCGCAGUAA